rnacentral:lncRNA from 1 species
GUUCCCUCCAGCGAGGCUGCUGACCUAUUUUUCUAUUAGGAACAACCAGCCAAUGUGAUAAUGAGGAAAAUGUAUACUGGCCCCUAUGAAGUUUAGUGAAGCCCGAAUGAAGUGGAGGAGGCCACGGAGAUGCACGAGGAAGAGCAUUCCAGGCAGAGGGAACAGCGAGGACAAAAGCCCCCGGGCAGGAAUGGGUGUGCAAGCCUGAGAUCCAACAUGGCGGAGAGCAAGCCGGAAGUGCUGCGCGGGGAUCCUAAGGGAACACUGAACAGGACAAGCUCAGUUUUGUCUCUCAAACCUCCACAAUCAGCUAUUUUGCAUAAGGAAAGUGGGUGGUGAUUAACCUCAGAGUCUCCAGGGACAGACUAUCCAGGACUGUGCCUGAAAUAGAAGAGGAAUUAACAUCAUACAGAACUGAAUACGGUGACUGAGGGGAGUUUGUGUCUCCCCUUUUAGGAAAGAAGAUGAGAAUAAGUAUGAAGGAGAGUCAUGUACUGUACAUUAAGCAAAAGCAUGAUGCUGUUAUUUGAAAUGUUAAUUAGAGGUGCCCACUAAAAACUGCUCAGCAAUUUUCUUGGAGACCUCAGUGCUCAUGUUAUUCUUUCCUCUAUCUUAUGUUUUCCUCUCUCCUGCCCUUUUCAGAAACAGUCUACAGCAGAAGCCAUUGACCCUGUUCAAAUUACAGAAGAGCCCUUUUUGAAUUUAUGAAAAUCCUGAAAUAUUAAAAUUUAUUAUUUUAAUAUUAAUAUAUUAAAUUAAUAUAUUAAUCUACCCGCCUCGGCCUCCCAAAGUGCUGGUAUUAUGGGCAUGAGCC